rnacentral:tRNA from 1 species
GGAAUGGUUUUCAUUGGUAAGAUAAGGCAAUUGCUAAUUGCUGGAGUUAACACUCUUGGGUGUUCGAAUCACCCUCAUUCCG